CAGCCGCCGCGGUAAUACGGAGGGCGCGAGCGUUGUCCGGAUUCACUGGGCGUAAAGCGUGCGCAGGCGGCCCGUUAAGACAGGUGUGAAAUCCCUGGGCUCAACCUAGGAAUUGCGCUUGUGACUGGCGGGCUCGAGUACGGUAGAGGGGGGUGGAAUUCCUGGUGUAGCAGUGAAAUGCGUAGAGAUCAGGAGGAACACCGAUGGCGAAGGCAGCCCCCUGGGCCUGUACUGACGCUCAUGCACGAAAGCGUGGGGAGCAAACAGGAUUAGAUACCCUGGUAGUCCACGCCCGAAACGAUGGGUACUAGCCGUUUGGUGCGCGAGAGCGCUGAGUGGCGAAGCUAACGCGUGAAGUACCCCGCCUGGGGAGUACGGCCGCAAGGUUGAAACUUAAAGGAAUUGGCGGG
rnacentral:rRNA from 1 species